AUUGAACGCUGGCGGCACGCCUAACACAUGCAAGUCGAGCGGUAACAUGAUCUGUAGCAAUACAGAUUGAUGACGAGCGGCGGACGGGUGAGGAACACGUAGGAAUCUACCUUAGAGAGGGGGACAACCAAGGGAAACUUUGGCUAAUACCGCAUAAUCUCGAGAGAGAAAAGCUGCCCGCAAGGGUGGCGCUUUAAGAGGAGCCUGCGUCCGAUUAGCUAGUUGGUGAGGUAAAGGCUCACCAAGGCGAUGAUCGGUAACUGGUCUGAGAGGACGACCAGUCACACUGGGACUGAGACACGGCCCAGACUCCUACGGGAGGCAGCAGUGGGGAAUCUUGGACAAUGGGGGCAACCCUGAUCCAGCGAUGCCGCGUGGGUGAAGAAGGCCUUCGGGUUGUAAAGCCCUCUAGGUUGGGAAGAAGGUUAGUCGUUUAAGAGAUAGCUAACUUGACUGUACCGACAGAAUAAGCACCGGCAAACUCUGUGCCAGCCGCCGCAGUAAAAC
rnacentral:rRNA from 1 species